UACGUAGGGUGCGAGCGUUAAUCGGAAUACUGGCGUAAAGCGUGCGCAGGCGGCUUUGCAAGACAGAUGUGAAAUCCCCGGGCUCAACCUGGGAACUGCAUUUGUGACUGCAUGGCUUGAGUGCGGCAGAGGGGGAUGGAAUUCCGCGUGUAGCAGUGAAAUGCGUAGAUAUGCGGAGGAACACCAGUGGCGAAGGCGACUUUCUGGCCUGUUCUUGACGCUGAGGCGCGAAAGCUAGGGGAGCAAACGGG
rnacentral:rRNA from 1 species